UCUAAAGAAACAGGCCAAAACGACGCCGUUUUUGAAGCCCUAUUUAAGUAAAAAAUUUCCCAAAAAAAUCUUUUCAGCUUCCUUUUAAAAAAAACUAAAAAAACCUCUCAAAACUCUCUCCCCUCUCUCAUCUUCCGGCAAAGCUUCAGCGCCGGACCACCGUAUAAGCCGCCGGUCGUCAGCGACGUCGUCGCCAUCCACGAUGGCCAAAAAAUAAAAAAAUACAUUUAUUAGACCAUUCGACUCCCCGAACCUAAAAAAUGUCGAUAUUUAUCGGAAUUGGCAAACCUCCUCCACC
rnacentral:lncRNA from 1 species